AACAAGCCAACCGCUUGGCGGGAGGGAACUUUCACCGCGUCCACCUCCCGCCCCCCGUGCCUUUGCAGACCCCGACCUCGUUGCUCCUUCACCGACGCGCCUCCUCCGACUGCCACACCACACCAUGGAGUGGCCACCCUCCUGCCAUCCAUCCCAAGCUUGCGCAAGCCGAAUCGGCCUAGGCCCGCGUCCGCCUGCUGCGAUUGUCGCACCUCGCCGUGGCCGAUGGCCGUGGCCGGGGAACUCCACAACGCCUCGCCGUGGCUGCCGUGUCGUGGGGGCGCCGUGUGUGUCGUUGAAGCCGUUCAGCAAGAAGGAGUGGACGGCGCACCCGACGACGCGUCCACCGACUACUCGACCUCACGCAUCUGGAGCAGGCCAUGAGCAGCAGCUAGUCAAGGCGGCCGGCGUGGAAAGCCAAGAGCAGCAGCCAGUCAAGGUGGCCGACGCUGCAGGCCAGGGAGCCGCAGGUCCAGCCGAUGGCGUGGGGUGGGCCACACGCCUCGGUGAGCUCCGGCUCCGCCAGGCAACACACAGCAGGCUCUAUUGCCAUGGCCGCUCCAGGACCCAAUUGUAAUCUAAAUUUCAUUUUGAGGGUGUUUUGUGCUACUUUGUAAGGACC
rnacentral:rRNA from 1 species